AUGUUUUCUUUGGCAACACAUCCACUAAAAAUUGGAACAAUACAGAGAAGAAUCGCAUGGCCCCUGUAUGAGGAUGACAUGUAAAUUCCUGAAGUGUUCCAUAAAAAU
rnacentral:snRNA from 1 species